UUCUUAUACAGAACUCCAUUAAUAAUCACACCUCUCCCUUCUUUCAACAUUUGCUUCUGCUCUUCCGAACAUGUAUCCUCCGCAGCCCGCACAUAGCAUGUUGCCUCCGCCAUUGGCGGUGCAACAUUCUUUUUUGUGGAAUUCCUGGGCCCCAUCGUAUGAAACGUGGAUAAAUCGGCCUUGUCGCCGCUACCUAAAUCCCUCCCACGAUCAAUAAUGCGGGAGAACAGCGUGAAUGCAGUCUCCGGUUGAGCGGCGGGCACGAAAUGGCCUGCCUCAUAAACACGGGUGAAGGAUAAGUUGCCGAGUUGACGCACGGCGCCGCCAACAUAGGACCGCCGCCCAGAUGCCUGGCUGGCAACGGUCAGGGAUGCGUAUCCGGCGAUAUCGCUAAAGGCUUUCUUGUCUCGGUAUAGCGCGGGGGAGAUCGGCGAGGAGGCAAUGGCUAACGAAACGGCCUCACCACCCAUCCAGUUGCAGACAUAAUCCCGAUCGCCGUGGAUGAGGGCUACCCGAAUGCCUGACGCCAGCAGCGAGGCCAGGUGCGGAACGUACGAGGUACGCAUGUAGUCGCCUGUCGAGACGAAAGCGGACUGAACCACAUUUCUAUAAUCUGUGUAAUUUACCUGGACGCCCAGGGCGUCUUGGACUCUCGCCGUGUUGAGGUAGGUGAGAUGCGUGAGCGGGGCAAAGCUGGAUAGUGGCGAUUGCGAAAUGUCGUAUGCGCUCCGGUUGGAUUUCUGGAACAGGCCGAACAUAUCCUUGUUGCAGGUGUACAUGGCCGCCAGGCACAGUGCAUUGACGGCGUCGACAUCGCCGUCCCCUUCUGGAUCGAGAGAUCGUGCCCCUGAACGGCAGGCGCUUAUUCGCUGUUUGCAUCCAUCUGGCUUUUGAAAGGCGGCUAGCGAUUCUUCCAUCUCCGCGCGAGAAAUUGCUUGAAUACCGUAGGUAUUGUUGUGGGCGAAGAUUGGGUAGAAGGGUUCCUGGAUGAGAUCAUCGAUGCAGCCUUGGAGGAUCCCCACGGAUUGCAGGUUUAUUUCAAGUGUGCUUUCCUUGGCGAGUUUACCGUCCCUGAGCGCUUCGUUUUGCGCUACCCAGUGCUCCGCGAAGGCUGGACCAUACUUGCCUCCGUAACUUUCUGUGAAGAGAUGGAUACCGGCAGCGGAGCCAUCUCUCCCAUCAUUGCUCGGGUUAUACUGUGGGAAUACGCUUAAAAAGCCCUGCAGCAUGUGCCAAACUGCCCUGCUUGCAAUAGCAGUUGAAUUUGCAGUCGCACCAACAUUGUGGGAACUGAAUGUGCCAUUCAGAAAGGUGCCUUCAGCCUGUCCAGAAGGCACAGGUGACGGCGGGAAUAUAUAAGACGAAGAUAGCAAAUCCAAAGACCCAUUGCGCAGGCUGUCAUACGAAAACCCAGCUUGAACCGGCUGAUCUAUAAACAACAGAUUGGAGGCUCGAUCCCAACCCCAUUCCCGAGCACGAGUACCAAUGCGAUCAGGCGAAAGCUCUACAGCUUCACAGGGCCCGACCUCCUGAAAUAGGCCCAUCAUGCUACUUUCGCCUGGGCCUCCAUUUAGAUAUAUAGUCAGAGGCGCCGUGUGUGCAUUCUGUCUCGCCUCCACGAACCAGAAGAAGGUGUUGAUGGGGUAACUCUGCCUGAUGGGAGACAGGGUUUCCGGAGGCAGGUGGACGUAGCCGGUAUAUUGUUUUUGAUGCGGGGAGGCCGUCUCGCAAACCCAAGCCGGAGGGGACUUGUAUGAAAUGGUGACGUUUUCGUUGAUUGGAGAGCGCGCAGUUUUUAAACCGGCAGCAUCCUUGUCUUUGAUGUAUAUGAAUUCGCUUGCCCGGAACGGGAAAGCUGUGCUGAGGGCAGCGAGAGCCCAUAGCGGAAAUGCCUUCCAUCGUGCCUUGGGCGGGUUAGCCAGUGCCCGGCUGAUUGGAAAGGAGUAGAAAUCGACAGGCGAAACUUGAAAAAAAAUUAGAGUGUUACUUAUACUUACCAUCCGCAUGAUAUCAAAUGAACGUGAACGUGCAUAGGCAAGAAACUCUAUAUUCUAAAACCGCAUUUCCAGCGUCUUUUCUCUAGUUUUAUUUAAUAAGAAACAGGUUGAAU
rnacentral:sRNA from 1 species